rnacentral:rRNA from 1 species
ACGCACGCUGGCGGCGUGCUUCACCCCUGCCAGUCGAACGGAAAGGCCUAGCUUGCUGGGUACUCGAGUGGCGAACGGGUGAGUAACACGUGGGUGAUCUGCCCCUGACUUUGGGAUAAGCCUGGGAAACUGGGUCUAAUACCGGAUAUUCAUUUUUCCUCGCAUGGGGAUUUGUGGAAAGCUUUUGCGGUUGGGGAUGGGCCCGCGGCCUAUCAGCUUGUUGGUGGGGUAAUGGCCUACCAAGGCGACGACGGGUAGCCGACCUGAGAGGGUGAUCGGCCACACUGGGACUGAGACACGGCCCAGACUCCUACGGGAGGCAGCAGUGGGGAAUAUUGCACAAUGGGCGCAAGCCUGAUGCAGCGACGCCGCGUGAGGGAUGACGGCCUUCGGGUUGUAAACCUCUUUCAGCUCCGACGAAGCGCAAGUGACGGUAGGAGCAGAAGAAGCACCGGCCAACUACGUG